GGGGGGGGGUGGGGGGGGGGGGGGGGGAGGGGGGGGGGGGGAGGGCUUGGGGUGUGGUGGCGGGGGGGUGCGUAGGGCGGGGGACAGUGCGCUUAGGGUGGGAAUGACUCGUCGGAAGGGGGGCUAGUACCGGCAACUGUCUGCGGCCUAAUGAUUUAUCGCGUUUGGCUGGGCCCGCGUUGGAUUAGCGAGUUGGUAGGGUAAAAGCCUACCAAGGCGACGGUCGAUAUCUGCUCUGAGAGGAUGAUCAGCCACACUGGGACUGAGACACGGCCCAGACUCCUACGGGAGGCAGCAGUGGGGAAUAUUGGACAAUGGGCGAAAGCCGUAUCCAGCAAUGCCGCGUGAGUGAUGAAGGCCUUAGGGUUGUAAAGCUCUUUUACCCGGGAUGAUAAUGACAGUACCGGGAGAAUAAGCUCCGGCUAACUCCGU
rnacentral:rRNA from 1 species